UAGAUUUGGGACUCUGAAGCCAUACUAUGU
rnacentral:piRNA from 1 species